GACGAACGCUGGCGGCGUGCUUAACACAUGCAAGUCGAACGGAAAGGCCCUGCUUUUGUGGGGUGCUCGAUUGGCGAACGGGUGAGUAACACGUGAGUAACCUGCCCUUGACUUUGUGAUAACUUCAGGAAACUGGGGCUAAUACCGGAUAGGAGCUCCUGCUGCAUGGUGGGGGUUGGAAAGUUUCGGCGGUUGGGGAUGGACUCGCGGCUUAUCAGCUUGUUGGUGGGGUAGUGGCUUACCAAGGCUUUGACGGGUAGCCGGCCUGAGAGGGUGACCGGCCACAUUGGGACUGAGAUACGGCCCAGACUCCUACGGGCGGCAGAAGUGGGGAAUAUUGCACAAUGGGCGGAAGCCUGAUGCAGCAACGCCGCGUGCGGGAUGACGGCCUUCGGGUUGUAAACCGAUUUCGACUGUGCCGAAGAGUGAGUGACGGUAAUGGGUAAAGAAGCACCGGCUAACUACGUG
rnacentral:rRNA from 1 species